UACAGAGGUCCCAAGCGUUUGUUCGGAUUCAUUGGGCGUAAAGGGGUGCGUAGGUGGCGCCGUAAGUCGGGUGUGAAAUUUCGGAGCUUAACUCCGAAACUGCAUUCGAUACUGCGUGCUUGAGGACUGGAGAGGAGACUGGAAUUUAUGGUGUAGCGUGAAAUGCGUAGAGUAUCAUGAGGAAGACCAGUGGCGAAGGCGGGUCUCGUGGACAGUUCCGUGACGCUGAGGCACGAAGGCCAGGGGAGGCAAACGGGG
rnacentral:rRNA from 1 species